GUGCUGCCCAGGCUGGUCUCGAACUCCUGGACUCAAGCCAUCCACCCGCCUCGGCCUCCCAAAGCACUUGUUACUUCAGCUCACCCAAUUCCAUAGAACCAGAGGGUGCAGACGAUGCAGAUCUCUGAGCAGAUGAGGGCAGAAAGCAGGAGCCCGCACUCGGUCCAGAGGCCAGACUGUGGAGCUGUGCAGGAGGCGGAGGCUGCGCCCAUGACAGCAGAUGGGUCCUGGUAGUCACACGGAAAACCAGCUGGGUUUGUCCUGGUGAUGAGGCUCUGGAGCUGAAUGGAGUCAUUCCUGUCCUCCUUGACCACAUCCCCAAGGGCCACUCACCUUCUUCCCAGGGCACAGACCCCUGGCAAAGCCCACAUGUACUCUCGGAGAAUGCUUGGAGGAAAACAUGGCAUGUGCUGGUUUCAGUGUUGUGGGGCCCUUCCCCCAGCAUCGGCCUUCUCUUCCAGCGAGGACUCUGGUCUGCGGAUUGGUUUCACCUAGAUGGUGGGUGAGGGGCUGACUGUACCUCGAGACGACCAAGCUCUUCCCAGGUUCUGUUGAUGCACUGCUCGAGGCAACGUUUUGAGACCCAUCAGCUCCUAUUAGGUUUGUGUCCCCCAGAAUUCGUAUGUGGAAGCUGUAACCCCCAAUAUGGCCACAUUUGGAGAUGGGACUUCUGAAGAAGUAAUUAAGGCUAAAGUCAGUCAUAAUGGUGAUCCGACAGGACAUGCGUCUGUAAAAUAAGAGACAGCAGAGAGCUCCCUCUCCCAGUCAGUCAUGUCGGCACACGUGAGAAGGCAGUGUUGGCAACCCAAGGGAAGAGUCCUGGACAGGCACCAGACAACACCAGCACCUUCAUCUCGGACUACCAGUCUCCAGAAAUUAGAGAUUUUUGUUAAGCCCCCCAGUCUGUGAUAUUGUGAUAACAACCUGAUAUGGUUUGGAUUUGUGUCCCCGCCCAAAUCUUAUGUUGAAUUGUAAUCCCCAAUGUUGGGGGAGGGGCCUGGUGGGAGGUGACUGGUUCAUGGGGGCACAUUUUCCCCUUGCUGUUCUUGUGAAAAGGAGUGAGCUCUCAGGAGACCUGCUUGCUUAAAAGUGUGGCACCUUUCCCCUUCGCUCCCUUUCUCUCCUGGUCCGCUGUGGUAAAAUGUGCUUGCUUCCCCUCCGCCUUCUGCCAUGAUGUAAGUUUCCUGAGGCCUCCCCGCCAUGCUUCCUGUACAGCCUGCAGAACUGUGAGUCA
ensembl:lincRNA